GCUUAACACAUGCAAGUCGAACGAGAAAGCGCCUUCGGGCGCGAGUAAAGUGGCGGACGGGUGAGUAACGCGUAGGAACCUGCCCGGCAGAAGGGGACAACUCGAGGAAACUCGAGCUAAUACCGUAUGACAUCUCCUGUCUUCACGACGGGGGAUCAAAGGGGGCCUAUCCUUGGAAGCUCCCGCUGUCGGAGGGGCCUGCGUUGGAUUAGCUAGUUGGUGGGGUAAUGGCUCACCAAGGCGACGAUCCAUAGCUGGUCUGAGAGGACGAUCAGCCACACUGGAACUGAGACACGGUCCAGACUCCUACGGGAGGCAGCAGUGGGGAAUCUUGGGCAAUGGGCGCAAACCUGACCCAGCCAUGCCGCGUGUGUGAAGAAGGCCCUCGGGUUGUAAAGCACUUUCAGUGGUGAAGAAAAGCCAGCGGUUAAUAGCCGCGGGUCUUGACGUUAACCAAAGAAGAAGCACCGGCUAACUCCGUGCCAGCAGCCGCGGUAAUACGGAGGGUGCGAACGUUAAUCGGAAUAACUGGGCGUAAAGCGCGCGUAGGCGGUUUGGUAAGUGGGAUGUGAAAGCCCCGGGCUCAACCUGGGAAUUGCAUUCCAAACUGCCGGGCUCGAGUAUGGUAGAGGGAGGUAGAAUUUCCUGUGUAGCGGUGGAAUGCGUAGAUAUAGGAAGGAAUACCAAUGGCGAAGGCAGCCUCCUGGACCAAUACUGACGCUGAGGCGCGAAAGCGUGGGGAGCAAACAGGAUUAGAUACCCUGGUAGUCCACGCCGUAAACGAUGAGAACUAGCCGUUGGGGCCCUUGAGGCUUUAGUGGCGCAGCUAACGCGAUAAGUUCUCCGCCUGGGGAGUACGGCCGCAAGGUUAAAACUCAAAUGAAUUGACGGGGGCCCGCACAAGCGGUGGAGCAUGUUGUUUAAUUCGAUGCAACGCGAAGAACCUUACCACCCCUUGACAUCCCCGGAACUUUCCAGAGAUGGAAAGGUACCUUCGGGAACCGGGUGACAGGUGC
rnacentral:rRNA from 1 species